CAGCGUCCACUGGAGCUGAAGAAACUGUCAGAUACUCGGUGGGCCUGUAGAGAGAGUGCACUUAAAACUCUGGUGAAGGUCCUCCCAUCUGUCAUGCAGUUCCUUGAGGAAAUGACACAGCACGAUCCCCCAGACUCCUCAGCUGGUGAUGCAAUGACCCUUCUAAAAAGCAUACAUUUUGAGUUCUUCUUGUGUUUAGAGAUCACCUGUCCAAUCUUCCAGGUGACUGCAGUUGCAUCUGAUGCAUUGCAGCAGAAAGUCAUGGACCUGGCUGCAGCAUACAGCAUUGUUGAUGGAGUUUUAAAGAGGCUGGCCUACAGCAGAACAGAAGAAGAGUUUGAGAACAUUUACAAACAGGCUACAGAGAAGGCUGCAUCAGUGGACCUGGAUCCUCCAUCUGAGGUCCCUGGACAAGCAAGGAGGAGGAAAGUGCCAGAAAAGUUCAAGUUUUCUGCCUACGACUGAACAUGCUUUCCCAACUUUGCAGGAGUACUACCGUGUUUUUAGUAGUUGCCAACAGAAUGAACACACACACACACAUUUUAGUUUCUUUAUUUAGAUUUUUGAUUAGACAUAUAAUCAAUCAAAAUCUUAGAGUCACAAUGCAACAUAUGAAAUCAUGAUUACAAUAUUGCAUACUGUAGACACACACACACACACACAUCUCUGUCUAUAUAGAUUUAUCUGUCUCACUCUUACCCCUGCCAUGGCCACCCUCAUCCUUUCCCCCUAUUAAUGUUUCUUUCUCAAAUGAUUUCCCAUGCUUUUUUAAAUCUGGUAUCUGAUUUUCUCUACCUGCAGCUCUUGGUGUGCAGCAGCCUCUGUGAGCAUCCUCUUAUAUUCUUGUAGCAGUCAGCCUUGGCAGUUGCAGCACAGCAGAGAAGAAAAAGCCUUCAGAUUGGGACAACUUAAGACACUUCAGUUUGUAAUUCCAGAGGUAUUAAUAGGUGCAAAGAAAAUUGUUUUUUAAACUUUUGACCUUAAAAUGGUCUUUUCUAUUCUGAUUCUUUUUCAAAACUGCAUAACAACAUUUGCUGCCCUAUAAAUACAGAAGCAUCCGUAUCGAUACACGUAUCAGAAAGGAAUGUGUCACAAUAUGUUGAUGUCUUGAUAUUUUGAGCAAAGCCCUAUUUAAAGCCUUGUUCCAUGUGCUCCUUUUAUACUUUGAGCAACUGCCCCUCCAAAGGUCUCUGCACGGCCCUGAACCACACCCACCCACCACUUAGUACUGCCUCUCAGAGUCCUUGUUGCACUACUCCCUUUGUACUACUGGACUCUGUCACUUCCUAGUAAAGUCUGAUAAGUAUGUUCAUUUGUUGUAUGUGUCUCAUUGCUACUGUCCCUACAUUUCAGUUGCACAUGCCACCUUGCACCUUCAGUUUGCCUUCAUGCACAUUUAGAAUUACCAUUGUACUUGUAUUAUUCAGUUGUUACAUGUACAUGUCUACCUAAUUGCUGAUAUCCCUUCAUUUCAGUUGCACAAACUCACCUCCAAUUUGCUCGAUUGCACAGUCAGAAUUGCCAAUUUUAUUUGCAUUUGCACAACUAUUCACUUCCCACUUGUACAUUCAUAAUACCUAAUACUUAUGUAUAUAUGAUCUGUCCUCCUCUAUGUGCCUUCAUUGCACAUCAUAUUUUCACUUGUAACAUACACUAUACUUAAUACCUUACUUGGCUGGUUCCUCACAAUGAGUGUUAAAAAGAUGUAGUAGAUAAAGUAAUAUAGUAAAUUAAUGUGAUAACGUAUGUAAAUAAAGACAUUGUGUUUUCCUCUCAGAAGACAAAGAUCUGUUGCAGAAGAAGAAGAAGGGAGGUAUUAGAGGCUUUUCCAGAAGGGUGUGGAAGAUCAUUACCUCCUCUGGCAUUUGAUCACAAGACAAGUGACACUCAAGAUCAAGAUCCGAGCCUCAAUUAAACACACACAUCCUUGUAUUUCUGUGGACCAAAAAAACCAACUACACCAGGUGGUCCAUCUAUGUCCCAUCUCCCAUCUAUAGAACCAACUACACCAGGUGGUCCAGCUAUGUCCCAUCUCCCAUCUAUAGAACCAACUACACCAGGUGGUCCAGCUAUGUCCCAUCUCCCAUCUAUAGAACCAACUACACCAGGUGGUCCAGCUAUGUCCCAUCUCCCAUCUAUAGAACCAACUACACCAGGUGGUCCAGCUAUGUCCCAUCUCCCAUCUAUAGAACCAACUACACCAGGUGGUCCAGCUAUGUCCCAUCUCCCAUCUAUAGAACCAACUACACCAGG
ensembl:lncRNA